GAGGAUAUAGCUCAAGUGGUAGAGUGUGUAUUUAGCAUGCAUAAGGUCCUGGGUUCAAUCCCCAGUGUCUCCU
rnacentral:tRNA from 1 species